ensembl:misc_RNA Metazoa_SRP Metazoan signal recognition particle RNA
GCUGGACAUGGUGGCGCAUGUCUGUAAUCCCAGCUACCAGGGAGGCUGAGGCAGGAGAAUCGCUUGAACCCAGGAGGCAGAGGUUGCAGUGAGCCAAGAUUGUGUCACUGUACUCCAGUCUGGGCAACAGAGUGAGACUCUGCCUCAA